CCCACGCUUGUGUCCUCUCCCUGCCAAACUUUUCAUCACAGCUGCUGCUGCUUUUCUAAUUUAAAGACCAGAUUCACUGGAAAUAAUUUACUGAAGAUUGUUUAUGGGGGCAGCAUAUUCACCGAAAAGAUAACAUAGAGGAGCAAGAGGAGAAGGGCUGUAGGCGAAGAAGACUUGACUGAGAGAGAUCACCAGGCAGGUGUCCAAUUUAUUUAA